rnacentral:misc_RNA from 1 species
AAAAAAUCUCCUCCAGGAAAAAUUGGAAUCAGGGGAGGACGAGGAGAGUCUGAAAAUACUGAAGAAGUUGUCGUCUGCUCAGCCGGAGAAUACCGAAUGGAAAUUCUUAACGGCGAGGCUGUUGAACGAAAUGGGGAAGCUUGAAGAUGCAAGGGAAGUUUUCGAAGAGAUUUUAUCGAAAACCCCUCUUUCGUUCGAGGCAUUGUUUGAGAAUGCAUUGCUGAUGGAUAGGUGUGGUGAGGGGGUGAAGGUGAUUCAGAGGUUAGAGGAGGCAUUGAGGUUAGCUGAGGAAGAGAGCAAAGUGAAGGAAAGUAGGGAUAUUCGGUUUAUAAUGGCACAAGUACAGUUCUUGCAGAAGAAUGUUGAGGAAGCAUUAAGGAGCUACGACGAGCUUGAGAAGGAGGAUCCUAAAGAUUUCAGGCCAUAUUUCUGUAGAGGAAUGAUUUACAGUUUGCUUGACAGGAAUAAAGAGGCUAGAGAGCAAUUCGCUAAGUACCGCGAGCUUUCCCCUAAGAAGUUCGAGGUGGAAGGUUAUCUGAGAACAGCUUUGUCCCGGAUGAAGCUCUUUGGAACUGAUGAAAAAGAGAGUUGAAUUCGAUGAUAUGUAGUUUAUGGUGGUUCAGAUUCCGAGCUUUUAAGCAGCAAACCAAAUUUUCGAGGAAGAUGGAAGCUUUAACUUGGUAUACAUUACUUAUUCUUGAAUUAUGUCUAAUAUAAGAUGAAAUAGAUUAGACAAUGAAAUAAAAGAAAAUUUGCUACAUUCUUGAUGGAUUCAUAUAUGUAUCUCGAAUCAGCAGGUAAUUUCUGCUUAGACUCUCG